CCUACGGGUGCAGCAGUGAGGAAUAUUGGUCAAUGGACGCAAGUCUGAACCAGCCAUGCCGCGUGCAGGAAGACGGCUCUAUGAGUUGUAAACUGCUUUUGUACGAGGGUAAACGCAGAUACGCGUAUCUGGCUGCAAGUAUCGUACGAAUACGGAUCGGCUAACUCCGUGCCAGCAGCCGCGGUAAUACGGAGGAGUCAAGCGUUAUCCGGAUUUAGUGGGUUUAAAGGGUGCGUAGGCGGUCGGAGAAGGUAGAGGUGAACUCCCGAGGCUCAACUUCGGAAUUGCCUCUGAUACUGUUCGGCUAGAGAGUAGUUGCGGUAGGCGGAAUGUAUGGUGUAGCGGUGAAAUGCUUAGAGAUCAUACAGAACACCGAUUGCGAAGGCAGCUUACCAAGCUACUUCUGACGUUGAGGCACGAAAGCGUGGGGAGCAAACAGGAUUAGAUACCCCAGUAGUC
rnacentral:rRNA from 1 species